UACAGAGGAGCCAAGCGUUGUCCGGAUUGACUGGGCGUAAAGCGCACGCAGGCGGUUGCGCGCGUGGGGUGUGAAAUCUGGCCGCUUAACGGCCAGGCGCCAUCCCAUACGGCGCGACUGGAGGGCUGCAGAGGUCGAUGGAAUUGCCGGUGUAGUGGUGAAAUGCGUAGAGAUCGGGAGGAACACCAGUGGCGAAGGCGGCUACCUGGACCAGCACUGACACUGAAGCACGAAAGCGUGGGGAGCAAACAGG
rnacentral:rRNA from 1 species